UGCCAGACUCCUACGGGAGGCAGCAGUGGGGGAUAUUGCACAAUGGGGGAAACCCUGAUGCAGCGACGCCGCGUGGGCGAAGAAGUAUUUCGGUAUGUAAAGCCCUAUCAGCAGGGAAGAAGAAAUGACGGUACCUGAGUAAGAAGCACCGGCUAAAUACGUGCCAGCAGCCGCGGUAAUACGUAUGGUGCAAGCGUUAUCCGGAUUUACUGGGUGUAAAGGGGGCGCAGACGGCGAUGCAAGCCAGGAGUGAAAGCCCGGGGCCCAACCCCGGGACUGCUCUUGGAACUGCGUGGCUAGAGUGCAGGAGGGGCAGGCGGAAUUCCUGGUGUAGCGGUGAAAUGCGUAGAUAUCAGGAGGAACACCGGUGGCGAAGGCGGCCUGCUGGACUGCAACUGACGUUGAGGCCCGAAAGCGUGGGGAGCAAACAGGAUUAGAUACCCUCGUAU
rnacentral:rRNA from 1 species